GUCGUUGUAGUAUAGUGGUAAGUAUUCCCGCCUGUCACCCGGGUGACCCGGGUUCGAUCCUGGCAACGGCG
rfam:Brassica oleracea var. oleracea cultivar TO1000 chromosome C3, whole genome shotgun sequence